rnacentral:tRNA from 1 species
AUAAAAUUAGCUUAAGUAAUAAAGCUUUUAAAUGUUAAUUAAAAAAAAAUUUAAUCUAAAAAUUAUUUUAUA